rnacentral:lncRNA from 1 species
CAAAAGACCAGACCCAGAUCUGUUCUCAGUAGUUUGAACUAUCAAUGAGCUGUCAUUAUUUGUGCUAUUUUAUAUAUUUUUUUCCUAUUUAAAUUUGUGUUUUCCUACAGAGAAAGAACUUUCAAGAACCAGCAAAGAAAAUAUGUCAAAACUCCAAAUUCUAAAGGGCUAGCCCAUCUGAGCAGAGCAACAAGAUUACAAUCAAGAAUGAUGCAGAGAAGGGCAACCACCAUAGUGCGAUGAUCUGCUAAGCCUGAAAAUGAAGAUUUAUGCCGGAAAGCCUGGCAGGACCCUAAAAUGCAGCAUUGCAAGUUGUGGGAAUGUAAUAAUGUAAGCUCAUUCCUAAUAAAACCAAC